UCAAGCAGCUGGGAGGCGACACAGCUGGGACAGGGCUAUCCCAUACCAUAUCACAUUGUGCUUGGCAGUGAAAGCUCAUGAACAGUGCUGUGGGAAGUCUUGUCUGAUACAUCUGAAAAUGCUGCUCCAAGGAUACUUGUGACACAUUCCUAUUGCCACCCAUUCAGUGACCAGCCGUCCUGCUAAAGGGAUUUCAUUCCACCAUGUGAUUUUAAUGAAGAAUAUGAAAAUCAGGAAAGAAGCCAGAACAGCACUCAUCUCUACUUUGGAAUAACGUAAGGAACACCUGAGAGGUUCACAACUUUGUCCUUUGACAUGCUCUGGAAAACAAUUUAAGCAUCUUCAAACAGGGCUGUUGGUCACUAGAAGGAGCUACGGUUUUCUUUAGCAUGUGCUUUGAUAUCGUUAACAAUACAAUUUAAAAUGCUAAUAUGGAAUUCCAGUGAAAAGCCUGGAUUUCUGAAUGCUUGUACUUUUUAAUAACAAUCUCUGCAGUUGCACUCAAACAGGGCAAAUAAUCUGGCUGUCAAUUUUUGAACAGACAGUUUGAGCAGAAGUACGUAACCGUGGAGCCGGGAAUAAUUCCUAAUAAUUGAAAGCACUUCAUAUUCAUGCAAAGUGCAUCUAAGAAACAUAUGGUUUAGAAUACUUUUCAUCUCAAGAAUAAUGUCAAUAAAUCCUUAAUUUUAUAAGGAUUCUUUCUUUUCCCCUGACAUAAUUAUCUUAAAAAUAUAUUACAGCUGUAGGUCAUAUUUUAAUGCAAAUGAAAGAUUUUGGUUUCUUUUGCUUGUGGGUUUGUUUUGGUUUUUAAUAAAGACACUUCCUGUUUAGAGAAUAUGGUACCAUCAAUUUUGAUUUAAAUGAUCCUCUCUGACAGAAGUUCCUUAUGCAGUAGAGUUUGGGAAAAAUUCAAUAGACAAAGACUUUUGAUUACAGCUGUGUAGUGGCAGGAGACAUGCAUAGUCACAGAGCAGCCAUUUUCUCAUUUUAAUAAGAAAACUAGAUAAAGAGGAACUAUUAUUUAGAAUAUUACUGCAGCUCUUCCCACUUCCACUCCAAGAGACACUGCAUUUUUCCUUCCCUUCAGUCAGUUAAGAACAUCACUUGCACUCACACAUGCACAGAAAAAGUGAAUGGAGACUGGAACACCCUGAUGAAAAAAUCAAGGUUUUGAAGUCACGGAAAUGAGUGUUGUUAUAAAAGUUGGCAUUGUAAGGCAGUAGAUGGGUGCUAGACUCAUUUAAUACAUCUGAAACUCACUUAGCUUGGACUAUAUUUUAUCAUGAAUACAGAAAAUACACCCUUCAGUUCUUACACUUGAAAAUUUAGACCAAGCAUUUGAUAUCACUGUGUUGAAGGUUUUAAUUUAUUCUCUCAAACACCCAGAGCCAUCUUAACUUCCAGACACCAAAUACAAAAGAUGGAAAAUAUGCAACUAUUUUAACAAUGAACAUAAGCAUCUUGGUGACGUGGAAGAGUAAGUCUCAUUAUCUUGCAGUAAAUUAAGGAUGUACGUAUCUUAAAAAGAAUUUUUAAAUGAAAUCAGCAAAAAUCCUGAUACACUCAUCAACACAAAGAGAUGCUGGCUUUGUUUUUAACACCCCCUGAUGGAAAUACUGCAACUAUUUUCCACUCGCAGCUUCUUGCGUUCCAGGUUCUGCAUUGAAUUGUAUAAGCCUUAGAUAACUAUAGCUUAUUCUAAUGCAUUUAAUUGUUAAUACUUAAACCCAUAAUGGUUUUUCUUUGAGUGGAAGGGCUAUUUCUGAGUCUCAUUUAAAGCUCACUUAGGAUAUUUCAGAGACAUUUAGCUGUUAGAUGUCAAAGAAUGACUAAAACCAAAACACGGUGAAGACAUUGCAUGUAUACAUCUCUCUGUAGAGGCAGAUAAGUAGGUCUAUAUUUUUUGCUUUCUUCCAUGUGAUUACACUACCCCUGGAGCACAAAUUGGACCCCCCCCCAAAGCUAAUGCGCUUUCUAAGGCAUUAUCCUUACCUUUCUCAUAUGUUUUUGCCUCUUUCAGAUGAAAACCUGUACAAGAAGUCUCAGCAUAAUAAACCCCCUCAUCAAGAUGAAGCUGCUGCACAAGCUUGAAUUACUAUAUUCUCACCAUGCUGUGAAAUCAACAUGAAGAAUAAGAUAGUAUAGCACAUCAGGAGAAAAUCUGCAUCUGUACUUGACUUCACAGAUCAAAGUAUCUCCUAAGCUGCACUUACUUUCCUGCUAAUAUCAAUAUACCAUGAAGAAAUUUCCCAAGGAGCAAUGAUACAACAGCUCACCCUUUUCCAGACUCUGAGUUGCACCCAUGUCUUUUGCUACUCUAUCAGAUGAUGCCUGCUUCUGUGACACCUCAAACCAGCAGCAACAACACAACCAAGGUGCCAACACAAGGUUCUGUUAUACAUUUUUCCACAUCAAGCUAACAGUGCUGACAGCAUGUCACGUAUUGCCCAGUAAUCACUGUGUUGAAGGUACUUGGGUGGUGAUGAUUGUCUCUGCCUUUUGCCAGCUUUUUUACUCCAUUUUUGUCAUUGUAUAGCAAUGAUUGAAAAGUCUGAACAAAAUCAAUACAAUAUAUUAUGCUAGCACUAAACACUGGCCAUCUAGUUGCACUGAUUAAGCAAAACUGAUUCAGUUGAAUCCGAAUUUCACUGAGAAUCCAAAACAUAAGCGUAUGGAAAAUUGUGGUGAUACAGGCUUUAUUUUUACUUGUUUGCAAAAAAAACCCCAUAACUUUAUCAAACAUUAUAAACACUUUCAGUGCUGACAACCCUCUUCAGACAUCAACUACUGUAAUUUUCCACACAUUUACAUAAUACUGGCUGAUUAAGCUGUCAGAAUUUUCAUUGCUGCUUGCUGCAGAAAUCAAAAAUAAAAACACAGCAUUCACAAUGCUUCACUCUCAGAUUUUGAAACCAGAGUGUAAGAAAUGGUAAAAUGGCUAAUCUGAAGCAUAUGGGGGAGUGUUCUCCUCAGUUACUAAUUCAUCUUUGCAGAAUUUAGCUUAUUUCCCCCAGUACAAGAUUUGCCCCAGGUGGUAGCAGCAUACUUACCAACAACCCAAGCUGUGGCUCUGCACUCCUGCCUGAAGAGCCCCACUGACGUGGACACCCUCUUCCUUCACAACUCAUACUAAAUUCCAGGCUUUCUUACCCUGGCAAUAUAAUUCUUACAGGACUUACACGACCUCAGGGCCUGACUGAUCUGGGAACCUAGAGAGCCAUUAUCACUUUAAGCUGGCUCUGCCCUAUAUUAUUUCAGUAUAAUGUAAUGCCUUUCCCAUUUAUCAUAUGUAUCUCUUCUGGCUUAUAUUGAAGUAGCACUGAUAUUCAUCUUAAGAUGCAUAUGGCAAGAUAUAAGUUAUCAUAUGAGCAUUCCAGAUUUAUAACAAAAAUUACCAUAUAAUUAUCAUUGCUGCCUUUACAUUCCCAUACAAUUUCCUCUCAAAAUAAUACAUGUUGUCUCACAGCUUAUAAUUAACUCAUAAGCUCUGUUGCUUCCACAGAAUGACCCAAAUUUUAAAUUUGAAAGGGAGUUCUACAGAGGACUACCAAUAAAUACAUAAUAUCUAUAAAGCAAAAGAAAUAUUCUGUUGUGGGUAAAAAAGUAGUUUCAAUUCCUAUCUGUAGAAAAGAAUAAGUACAAGAGCAACUGAUGGUGAACACUUUUAAAAUGUAAUAUUAAAAUAUUACAGAAAGAUUAAAGUAAGCAAUCCAUCCCCUAUGAAAUCAUCCCAUCUGAUUGCAAUGCACAUUAAGUUAACUCAGGCCAAAUAAAACCCCACAUCUACCAGGUUAACACCGAUCCAGAAAUGAGUCUAACAAUCCACAGUAACCAACUAUGAAAACACUGCACUGAAGCUUCUGAAGCUACAAGAAUUUACUCUUACAAAUUGGCCUUCAUAGCAACAGCAACCAAUUUAAGAUAUUUAUAAACUUUAAAAACACAAUUGUAGAAUAAGAACAACUAUAAGUUGUCUGGAACGCUUGUAUAGCCACACAGUGAGAAUCUUUUCAUCAGGACAUUCUUUACUUCUUAAAAGAACAUCUUAAAUUGCCUCUGAACUUCCAUUUGAGAACAUUCAGUUCCUCUGUUCUCAUCUUCAUACUCACUUACAGUAAUUUUCAUGGUUCAAGAAAAAUUUGGCAAAUGAAAAUACAGAUUUUAUUCUUCUGAAAGAGGUAUAGAAUGGCUAGCUGCUCUGUGAUAGAAUGGUGUGCUUCUACCCUGAUACGCAACUGACCUGCUUUCUUCAUUGAAAUUGUCUUUUUAUCUUAGACUGACUUUUCACAUGGGAAUUAAUGAUACUCUUAUUAGCCUUAUUGUGUACAGCCUUACUGUAAAGAAACAAGAUACUGUCAUAAUUUACUAUAUCUUUGAGUAUUUUAUCUUCAUCCAAGCUAUACUUGUUUCUUCCAUUACACUUCAGCUGUUUAAACUGUAUAGCUCUGACCAGCUACAUCUGCAAAAACAUGCCUGUGUUGUGCAGGGAAUUCCAGAUUGUUAUGAAGAGAUGCUGAAUAGUUUAUAUGAAUUUAAGGACGUAUCAGCAUAGCCAGCUCUUGCUUCAUUUGCCUUGAUAUGUUAAUUCUUUCCAUGUUGUAAAAGACUAAAGCAAGAUUAGCUGUGAUGGGGAUGAGAGGGGAUGCUCAAGAUGUGUUAAUAUUACCACAGAUAUCAAGGUGUCUGUAAAGCCUUGAUGAAUUAUUUCUAAAAAUAAUACUUAUGCAGGUAAUCAAUCUUGCAGGUUUUGUCAAAAAGAUACCCCCCCCCAACCCAAAUAUUGAUUGUGUAUAGCAGGACUAUGUUUAAGAAUGAUAAAAGGCACUUCAGUCAAUACAAACUGUGGCCACAGACACCUUGAGGCACGUGCAACAAAAAAAAAAUGUUGGGUUUUGUUGUGAUAUAUUUACUUCUCUUUCUGCUUUAAGUGCAGCCAGUUAUGCAGCUCCCACAGUAACUAUUGUUCUACUUACUUCUCUGGUUACAGUUUGCAGUCAUCUUUUAAAAUAACAAAUAAGGGUUACAUUUUGCAA